UACGUAGGGUGCGAGCGUUGUCCGGAAUUAUUGGGCGUAAAGAGCUCGUAGGCGGUUUGUUGCGUCGGCCGUGAAAACCUGCAGCUUAACUGUGGGCCUGCGGCCGAUACGGGCAGACUAGAGUGUGGUAGGGGAGAUCGGAAUUCCUGGUGUAGCGGUGAAAUGCGCAGAUAUCAGGAGGAACACCGGUGGCGAAGGCGGAUCUCUGGGCCAUUACUGACGCUGAGGAGCGAAAGCGUGGGGAGCGAACAGG
rnacentral:rRNA from 1 species